UGCUCUGCCCUGAGGUCUGACUGCUGCCAUUAUGGGUACCCAAUAUCUGUACAUCAAGAGGCAUCUCUUUGCUGCAGUGGGAGAAGAAACCAGCAAAUGCGCCUGAAAAAGAAAAGGAAAGCUCGCAGGAAAAAGGCACCAUAAUACAGCCCUGAAAAGAAAAUGUGCAAACUUCUGAGAAUAUGCCCUCGUGUUGAAUACACCGGAUUUCUCUGCCGAGCAAAGGGGAAGGUUUUGUUCGUUUGGACAGUCUUUGAAUACUGUUCUAAAACUUCUUUCAAGUGGGGACUGAAGAGAGAAAUGUUAAGUUCUAAGGAGGAGACAAUACGUUAGCAUCUUUGAACGCAGCCCCUUGCAUGCAAAUCAGCCUUUUGGCAAUUUGGGGCACUUUAAUUGGAAGGUGGCAGCUCGGCAAGAUAAGGCUGCGUCCCUCGGAUCGCGGCGCUGCCCGGUGUGGGAUGGCAGUGAGGAGACCCCCACCCGGGUACCCCCCCCCACGGCCGAGCGGCGGCCCCCGAAAGGCCCCCGUUAAUACGGUCCGUCGGUUUAAAGUUUCUAUAAUUUUCACCUAAUGAUUUUUUUUUUCUUCUUCCCCUUAAUGCUCCCCCCGCCCCCAGGGGCACUGUGUCAGGCCGGGCCCAGCCAGCCCUGGAUGGCUUUUUCAUAGCUCUUGGCUGUGCGCAGACCCUUCUCGGGAUUAGUGGUCGGACUCCUCAUUUCCCAUAGCCAUAAAAGGUCUUGAACUCAA